rnacentral:rRNA from 1 species
UGAAUACGAGAUGCUACGGCGUCGAAGCAGUCUAUGUCAUACUUCCAAGAAAAGCUCGCACUGUCAUAAACAAAUAAUGCCUGUACCAUAACCGACACAGGUGGGUAGGUAGAGUAUACUAAGGGGCGCGAGAUAACUCUCUCUAAGGAACUCGGCAAAAUGACUCCGUAACUUCGGGAGAAGGAGUGCCUUAUUUAUAAGGUUGCAAUAACAAGAUCCAAGCAACUGUUUAUCAAAAACACAGGUCUCCGCUAAGUCGUAAGACGAUGUAUGGGGGCUGACGCCUGCCCAGUGCCAGAAGGUUAAAGAAGUUGGUUAGCAUUCGCGAAGCUGAUAACUGAAGCCCUGGUGAACGGCGGCCGUAACUAUAACGGUCCUAAGGUAGCGAAAUUCCUUGUCGGGUAAGUUCCGACCCGCACGAAAGGCGUAAUGAUUUGGAUACUGUCUCGGAGAGGGGCUCGGUGAAAUAGACUUGUCUGUGAAGAUGCGGACUACCUGCACCAGGACAGAAAGACCCUAUGAAGCUUUACUGUAACUUGAGAUUGAAAUUGGACUUUACUUGCGCAGUAUAGGUGGGAGGCGUUGAUAAUAUUCUUGCGGGAUUAUUUGAGCCAUCAGUGAGAUACCACUCUUGUAAUGUUAGAUUUCUAACUUUGUAUCAUUAUCUGGUCAAAGGACAGUUUCAGGCGGGCAGUUUGACUGGGGCGGUCGCCUCCUAAACGGUAACGGAGGCGCACAAAGGUUUCCUCUGAACGGGUAGAAAUCGUAUCUAGAGUGUAAAGGCAUAAGGAAGCUUGACUGUGAGACCUACAAGUCGAGCAGGGACGAAAGUCGGUCUUAGUGAUCUGACGGUGCUGAGUGGAAAGGCCGUCACUCAACGGAUAAAAGUUACUCUAAGGAUAACAGGCUGAUCUCCCCCAAGAGUUCACAUCGACGGGGAGGUUUGGCACCUCGAUGUCGGCUCAUCGCAUCCUGGGGCGGUAGUACGUCCCAAGGGUUGGGCUGUUCGCCCAUGAAAGCGGUACGCGAGCUGGGUUCAGAACGUCGUGAGACAGUUCGGUCCAUAUCCGGUGUAGGCGUUAGAAUAUUGAGAGGAGCCUUCUUUAGUACGAGAGGACCGAGAAGGACAUACCUCUGGUGUACCAGUUAUCGUGCCAACGGUAAACGCUGGGUAGCUAUGUAUGGAGUGGAUAACCGCUGAAAGCAUCUAAGUGGGAAGCCCACCUCAAGAUAAGUAUUCUCAU